GGGGGUGACUGGCUUCGACAGAGGGAUCGACACAUCCAUGCGCGGGCGAGAGCGAACGUCUCUCCAAACCCGUUCACAAUCUCAAGUGCGAACAAAGUAGCACAGGGAGUUCUUUCACCGAUUCAGGUGAAGGACCUUCAGUUCGCUUACGCAAUAGCCUAAGCGACCGUUCUCCAAUCCGAUGCUUGAUUACGAUUGGCAGAACGUCACUUCACUCAAGCGCUGAUGUCGACCUGUCCGAGCGAUAUCUAAGAAACUGGACUCGGUUUCGCGCGCUUUCGCUCAUCUUUUAUGCGCGACGCUUAAAUCCGCCACCCGGCGGAUCAAGAUGAUCUACGCUCCGUAGACACAUGCAUGCUGUUUCUCUCUGCACGGGGGUUCGAUUCCCCCCACCUCCACAA
rnacentral:tmRNA from 1 species